rnacentral:rRNA from 1 species
GACGAACGCUGGCGGCGUGCCUAAUACAUGCAAGUAGAACGCUGAAGGAGGAGCUUGCUUCUCUGGAUGAGUUGCGAACGGGUGAGUAACGCGUAGGUAACCUGCCUGGUAGCGGGGGAUAACUAUUGGAAACGAUAGCUAAUACCGCAUAAUAGUAGAUGUUGCAUGACAUUUGCUUAAAAGGUGCAAUUGCAUCACUACCAGAUGGACCUGCGUUGUAUUAGCUAGUUGGUGGGGUAACGGCUCACCAAGGCGACGAUACAUAGCCGACCUGAGAGGGUGAUCGGCCACACUGGGACUGAGACACGGCCCAGACUCCUACGGGAGGCAGCAGUAGGGAAUCUUCGGCAAUGGACGGAAGUCUGACCGAGCAACGCCGCGUGAGUGAAGAAGGUUUUCGGAUCGUAAAGCUCGGUUGUAAGAGAAGAACGAGUGUGAGAGUGGAAAGUUCACACUGUGGCGGUAUCUUACCAGAAAGGGACGGCUAACUACGUG